AUGUUCAAGGAGUGCCACCGGAAGUGCAAGGAGCUGUUUCUAGUUCAGAUGGAAGGUGUCAAACUUACAGUCAACAAAGGGUUGUGCAACCAUUUCCAGGUGACCCACACAGUAGCCCUUGGCACAAUUGGGGAGUCCAACUACCACUUUGGGGUCACAUACAUGGGGACGAAGCAGAUGAGUCCCACAGAGGCGUUCCCCGUGCUGGUGGGUGACAUGGACAAUAGUGGAAGCCUCAGUGCACAGGUCAUCCACCAGCUGAGCCCAGGCCUCAGGUCCAAAAUGGCCAUCCAGACCCAGCAAUCCAAGUUUGUGAACUGGCAGGUGGAUGGCGAGUACCGGGGCUCCGACUUCACAGCUGCUGUCACCCUGGGCAACCCAGAAGUCUUGAUGGGUUCAGAAAUCCUCGUGGCUCAUUACCUCCAGAGCAUCACACCCUGUCUCGUCUACCACCGGAGGCCUGGAGAGGAGGGCACUGUCAUGUCUCUAGUGGGGAAAUACACACUGAACAACUGGUUGGCUACAGUAACGCUGGGCCAGGCUGGCAUGCAUGCGACCUAUUACCACAAAGCCAGUGACCAGCUGCAGGUGGGUGUGGAGUUUGAGGCCAGCACCAGGAUGCAGGACACCAGUGCUUCCUUUGGGUAUCAGCUGGACCUGCCCAAGGCCAACUUCCUCUUCAAAGGCUCUGUGAACAGUAACUGGAUCGUGGGGGCCACGCUGGAGUAGAAGCUUCCACCCCUGCCCCUGACACUGUCCCUCUGCGCCUUCCUA